CUAGUUUCCACAAAAUACAUCCACUCUCAGGGUCAUAACAGAACUCGUCGAAGUCGUUGUUCAUCGAAAUAACUAUGUUUGCAGGCCAAUUAACUUUAUCGAUCUCACGAUCAGUUAGAAGUAACUUAACAAAUAUUCAAAAAAUGAGUGUUGCAAUUAAUACUGACUGCGUAAAGUCUCUAUUAUACAAAGAAUACGGCGAUCCUGUUAAAGUUCUUCAAGUAACGACGCAAACAAUAGAACAUCCAAAAGGCGAACAAGUAUCUGUGAAAUGGCUACUAUCUCCGGUAAAUCCAGCUGAUAUAAAUACGAUACAAGGAAAAUAUCCUAGCAGGCCUCCUCUGCCAGCAAUACCAGGGAAUGAAGGGGUUGGAGAAAUAGUAGCAAUUGGAUCUGACGUUCAAGAUUUGCAUGUUGGAGACAGAGUGGUACCAAAUGGUCCUAAUUUUGGAAUCUGGAGAACACAAGCUAAUUAUGAUUCUAAAGAUGUUAUGAAGGUACCAAGUGAUGUUGAUCUAGUUGUAGCCAGUAUGAUGAACGUAAAUCCAUGUACAGCGUAUAGAAUGCUGAAGGAUUUCGUUCCAUUAAAGCCCGGAGAUACUGUGAUACAAAACGGUGGCAAUUCUGCAGUUGGUCAACUGGUCAUUCAAUUAUGUAAAAUAUGGAAUUAUAAGUCGGUCAAUGUUGUUAGAGAUAGACCAAACAUACAGGAAUUGAAGAAUCAAUUAAUGAGCUUAGGAGCAGACGAAGUGCUAACCGAAGAGGAAGUCCGAAAUACACAAUUGUUUAAAAGUAAAAAGUUACCUGCACCUAAAUUAGCUCUUAAUUGCAUUGGUGGACAGAAUGCAACCGAAAUAACGAGACAUCUUGCCCAUGGUGGUAUUAUGGUGACUUACGGCGGUAUGUCUAGAGAACCAUUAACUGUACCAGUAUCUGCACUUAUAUUUAAGGACGUAUCAUUCAAAGGAUUUUGGAUGACAACCUGGACAAAAACAAAUAUGGAAUCUCAGGAGAGAUUGGAUAUGUUUAAGAAUUUAGCAGAUUUCUUUAGGAAUAAGAAAUUGCAACCGCCACCAUAUAAACUGGUGCCUUUUCGCGAAUAUCAAGAAGCCAUUGCUAAAGCGCUCAGUUUCGACGGUCGAAUGGGCGUAAAGUAUAUUCUAGAUUUAACAGAAUCUUAAAAUGUUUUUAUACAUUUGCUACUUUUUUAUAACUCCUAUCAGUAGAUUUGAUAGCAUUUAAAGUUACCAUCUUAGGAUUCUGCAAUAAAAUGCGCAUACUGUUUUCCUUAUGCUUCUGAUAUGACUGAAGCAAAUUAAAAUACUGUUUUGUAAAAUAGAAAUUUUUUGUACGAGAGAAUAUAUUUAUUUCUAGAAACAUCGGUGUAUAUAAAGAAGAUAUAGAAGAAACAAGAAAAUAUAGGAAAAAUUGCAAUGCGUUAUAUGUUUCAGUUAAAAUUUUAAAUUAUUCGAUCUCGUCGAGAAGAUCGAUUCCCAGCUGAACAGCCAACAUGCCUAAUUCUGCUUUCGUGCCGCAGUCUCUUAAAAACUGUUGGCUGUCUUGCCUUGCGCUUUCCGUUAGGCCAUAUGUUGGCAAGUAUCUAUAUUAAAAAACAAAUAAUUGUCCAUACCAUGAUUGGCAUCUGUAUUUUUUUUU